GCUGCUGCUGCUGCUGCAGGUAAUGAUGGUUUGCUAAUGAAUUGGGGAGAAAAUGACGUUGUUUCCUGUAAUUGGUUCAUCCAAUCAGAGAAGGGUGUAUAUCUGCUUUUGAAGAAGAGAAAAUCCAGAUCACUCCUGCUGUUUGAACUGUGAAGUUGCACUCAGCCCUCCGUUUGUGAAGAACAUUUGGUCCACAGAAGUUAUCCUUUUGUCACUGGGGAGUGCAUCUGUCUUCCAGGUCUCUGCAGCAGCACAGCGCCACAUCCUGCCUGGCUGAGAGCCCUCACAACCUGCACACCUUCAACAAGAAGCCUCAGGGAUGCACCUAUGUCUCCUCUCUUCUCCUGAUGCUACAUGAAGCUCAGUGCAGGGUAGCUGGACCGGUGUGGAGAGGGUCAUCGAGCCGUUGCAGUCCUUCUGCCAGGGAGAAGACAUGGAAGACGCAGGUGAUCGAAACCAGACAAACAGGUGGACAACAGAGAGACAGACUGACGGAUGAGUACACACGGCUGCGGGAGGAUGCGAUACAUCAUCCCAACAGGAGGAAGAGAGACACAGAAAUGUGGAGAAAAUGUGUCUAUCCACUGCACAGAGACAGUCAU